rfam:Pelobacter propionicus DSM 2379, complete genome.
AGCAAUCUGUCUCCGAGCCUGCCCUCCUACCGGGACACCCCCAUGGCGGCAGGCCAACGGGUUCUGGCGGAAACGCCCGAGCCUCCCUUUUGGAAAGGAGAUGACAGCAGCAGGAC